GCAGUCAAAGUUACUAAAUUACAAAUUUUGCAUAAAAAUGUGUGGCAGACUUAAGAAAAUACUGUGCAUGCUAAUUAUAUUUUUGAGCAGUAUUGGCGCUCAGGAUUAUGAGGUGGCCGAUGUGCAAUGCACAUUUUCCACUGCUGGCUCGGAUAUGCAAGAUCUUAUAACGGCUACACUUAAAAGACCCGCGGGC